GACGUAGGGGACGAGCGUUGUCCGGAUUCAUUGGGCGUAAAGCGCGCGUAGGCGGUUUGGCAAGUCGGAUGUGAAAACCAGAGGCUCAACCUCGGGUCUGCAGUCGAUACGAGCAAACUAGAGUGUUGCAGGGGAGACUGGAAUUCCUGGUGUAGCGGUGAAAUGCGCAGAUAUCAGGAGGAACACCGGUGGCGAAGGCGGGUCUCUGGGCAACAACUGACGCUGAGGAGCGAAAGCGUGGGGAGCGAACAGG
rnacentral:rRNA from 1 species